GGAGAAUCUAAGACUUCUGAAGAGUUUCUUGCUUCUUUCCUGUGGGGCAGUGACUCCACUUCCCAGCAGUAAUGGAAUAUCCUGAAUUAGCUACAUUAAUGUUAGAACCAUUUGGACCUCACCCAGGACUUCAACUACAUUAUGGAUGUUAUAAGAAAUGAGACUCACUACUGAAUUCACAGCAGGCAUGGUUGAAGGCACCAUUCACUAUAGCUUGCAGUGUUCCCUUUAUGAGAUUUGUAUGAGAAAUUCCUCUCAUAGGUCAAGUUCUUGGAAGAAAAUUCUCCCAAAGAGCAAGUCUCAGGAAAAGCUUGGCUGCUAAAGUUACAGAACCCAAAUUUGGCAACUGUCUGCAUCUGAACAACAGAAGUUUCAACAUUCUGCCAACAGAGUAACUCCUGGACGAUUGGCACAGAAGGCACAAGGCAAAUACCUAUCUCUGUACACCCUGUGCUACUGUGUCAUGUGCUGCUCCAGGCAACUCCAAUGGAUUGGCCACCCUGGCCAAUGUGUUCUAGUAUGUUAGGUUUAUGUUCCCCUGCUUUCUACAAUCCUGUUCAAAGAGUUGCUGACUUAACCACAGAGAGGAUUCCAGAACAUGAGACACAGAAUAAACUUGAGCAAUCAUAGUCCAUCCACUUCAUUUUCUCAUCAAAAACCAAAGGUCCAGUGAAGCUCUGGAACUCAACGCUGUAAAGGAGCGAAGGAGCUUCUAUACAGAGCCUGGAUGCCUGUCUCCUUAUCCUACUUCAGUGGACUUGACUG
rnacentral:antisense_RNA from 1 species